rnacentral:rRNA from 1 species
CAAGUCGAACGCGAAAGUUUCCUUCGGGAGAUAAGUAGAGUGGCGCACGGGUGAGUAACACGUAGGUAAUCUACCUUCGGGUGGGGAAUAACCCAGGGAAACUUGGGCUAAUACCGCAUAAUGCAGCGGCACCACAUGGUGACAGUUGUUAAAGCGGGGGAUCUUCGGAUCUCGCGCCUGAAGAGGAGCCUGCGGCAGAUUAGCUAGUUGGUAAGGUAAUGGCUUACCAAGGCGACGAUCUGUAGCCGGCCCGAGAGGGCGGUCGGCCACACUGACACUGACAUACGGGUCAGACUCCUACGGGAGGCAGCAGUCGGGAAUUUUGGGCAAUGGGCGAAAGCCUGACCCAGCAACGCCGCGUGAAGGAUGAAAUCCCUCGGGAUGUAAACUUCGCAAGAAUGGGAAGAAUUAGUAGGGGCUAAUACCCUCUAUGAUGACGGUACCAUUUGUAAGCUCCGGCUAACUCCGUGCCAGCAGCCGCGGUAAUACGGGGGGAGCAAGCGUUGUUCGGAUUUACUGGGCGUAAAGGGCGCGUAGGCGGCCAGCGCAAGUCAGUUGUGAAAUCUCCGGGCUUAACUCGGAAAGGUCAACUGAUACUGCGCGGCUAGAGUGCGGAAGGGGCAACUGGAAUUCUCGGUGUAGCGGUGAAAUGCGUAGAUAUCGAGAGGAACACCUGCGGCGAAGGCGGGUUGCUGGGCCGACACUGACGCUGAUGCGCGAAAGCCAGGGGAGCGAACGGGAUUAGAUACCCCGGUAGUCCUGGCCUUAAACGAUGGAUGCUUGGUGUCUGGAGUUUUAUAGUCUCCGGGUGCCGUAGCUAACGCGUUAAGCAUCCCGCCUGGGGAGUACGGUC